CACUGCUGACUGCACCUUCUCAGCUGCGUCCACCGCAGGUGUUGGAAACAUGAAUGUUUCAAUCUUCCUGACUCUCCUUUUCUUGGGAAUAGCCUCACCGUUUCCAAAGGUGGAUCACAGUUUAGGCGCUCUAUCAAACCUGUUUGAGGCAACAGCUGAAGAAGUAUCUGACCUGGUUGAAGACCUACUAGAUGUCAUCAAUGAUGCGUUGGUAGAGGAUAGUCCCAAUGUGCUUGAUACGCACAGUCAGGAACAACGUGAAGAACCACAGAGCAAUAGAACUGCAAGCCAUCACACUGGUGACAUCAGCCUGCUGAUUAAACCACGCAAAAAAGUAUUUGGCAAGAUUAGAGGUACAUCCAGGAGAGGAUUGUUGGGGAAAAAUUUCAAAGGUGCUGGAAAGAAAACUGUUGGAGGGUUUAAAAAAACAGUACCGAGAUUGAAAACAUUUGGAAAACGCAUUGCAGAGGAGAUUGUGGUAGAUGUAAUACUAUCAGAGGGCUUGGGGGCAAUUGCCAAAGCCAUUGGAGAGAGUAUUCUGGGAGUUAACAACUCUCCCGUGACCCCAGAGGACUCU